GGAGAUUUAGCUCAGCGGUAGAGCGCUUGCCUAGCAAGCGCAAGGCCCUGGGUUCGGUCCCCAGCUCCG
rfam:Rattus norvegicus chromosome 6, whole genome shotgun sequence.